CUGGGCCAUGGCGAGGAGUGCGGCCGCCUAGGGCCCAGCCUGAGCAGGGGCCCAUGCCCUGUGCAUAUAUUAUAUGCAAGUAGGUAUAUAUAUUCCCAACAAAUAUUGUACUAGAACGCAAAAGAAGCAGCGCAGCCCAUUAAGAGAGGAAAUAGGCAGCUCAGGCGCAAACACAAAUCCCAGAAUCCCUUUCCGUUCGUUCUCUCCAAGAAAGACGCCGCCAGCUCGUUCGUCUCCCAACCGCCAUCGUCUUCCUCACCAAUUGAUUGUCCCGAUUUCCGAACAGCCCAGGACCCCAACUCCCGAUAUUAAUCAAUGUUUAAUUGUAUCAUUAUCUAAUAUAAUGGAUUUCUUUGGUUUCUCUCAUCCUAUAAAUACUCCAGGGCUUUAGGCGGGCGGAGACGAGGCGACAGACACACCGCCCUUGGAGGAGAAAGGCAAAAGGCAUACGGCAAACAACAGCUCCUCUGAUUUUUGCUGAUCUGGAGCUAUAAUUUCUGUCAAAUUGGAUCAAGAAAUUAAGAAGAGUUAAAAGAAGACUUCUUGGUUGCUGGUUGUUGGAGCAUGUGACAUAUACAUGAUGUAUUAAGACCAUAUUUCAUAUCUGCUAAUGAAAUUUACACUUGCUUUUA